rnacentral:rRNA from 1 species
CAAGGCUGAGGCGUGAUGACGAGGCACCACGGUGCUGAAGCGACAAAUGCCCUGCUUCCAGGAAAAGCCUCUAAGCAUCAGGUAACAUCAAAUCGUACCCCAAACCGACACAGGUGGUCAGGUAGAGAAUACCAAGGCGCUUGAGAGAACUCGGGUGAAGGAACUAGGCAAAAUGGUGCCGUAACUUCGGGAGAAGGCACGCUGAUAUGUAGGUGAAGCGACUUGCUCGUGGAGCUGAAAUCAGUCGAAGAUACCAGCUGGCUGCAACUGUUUAUUAAAAACACAGCACUGUGCAAACACGAAAGUGGACGUAUACGGUGUGACGCCUGCCCGGUGCCGGAAGGUUAAUUGAUGGGGUUAGCGGUAACGCGAAGCUCUUGAUCGAAGCCCCGGUAAACGGCGGCCGUAACUAUAACGGUCCUAAGGUAGCGAAAUUCCUUGUCGGGUAAGUUCCGACCUGCACGAAUGGCGUAAUGAUGGCCAGGCUGUCUCCACCCGAGACUCAGUGAAAUUGAACUCGCUGUGAAGAUGCAGUGUACCCGCGGCAAGACGGAAAGACCCCGUGAACCUUUACUAUAGCUUGACACUGAACAUUGAGCCUUGAUGUGUAGGAUAGGUGGGAGGCUUUGAAGUGUGGACGCCAGUCUGCAUGGAGCCGACCUUGAAAUACCACCCUUUAAUGUUUGAUGUUCUAACGUUGGCCCGUAAUCCGGGUUGCGGACAGUGUCUGGUGGGUAGUUUGACUGGGGCGGUCUCCUCCUAAAGAGUAACGGAGGAGCACGAAGGUUGGCUAAUCCUGGUCGGACAUCAGGAGGUUAGUGCAAUGGCAUAAGCCAGCUUGACUGCGAGCGUGACGGCGCGAGCAGGUGCGAAAGCAGGUCAUAGUGAUCCGGUGGUUCUGAAUGGAAGGGCCAUCGCUCAACGGAUAAAAGGUACUCCGGGGAUAACAGGCUGAUACCGCCCAAGAGUUCAUAUCGACGGCGGUGUUUGGCACCUCGAUGUCGGCUCAUCACAUCCUGGGGCUGAAGUAGGUCCCAAGGGUAUGGCUGUUCGCCAUUUAAAGUGGUACGCGAGCUGGGUUUAGAACGUCGUGAGACAGUUCGGUCCCUAUCUGCCGUGGGCGCUGGAGAACUGAGGGGGGCUGCUCCUAGUACGAGAGGACCGGAGUGGACGCAUCACUGGUGUUCGGGUUGUCAUGCCAAUGGCACUGCCCGGUAGCUAAAUGCGGAAGAGAUAAGUGCUGAAAGCAUCUAAGCACGAAACUUGCCCCGAGAUGAGUUCUCCCUGACUCCUUGAGGGUCCUGAAGGAACGUUGAAGACGACGACGUUGAUAGGCCGGGUGUGUAAGCGCAGCGAUGCGUUGAGCUAACCGGUACUAAUGAACCGUGAGGCUUAACCUUACAACGCCGAAG